CAUCUGUCUCGUGACCUUCCGGGAUAUUGUCGGUGUCCUGGUGGCCAAUCCUGAUUGUCGGUAGGUAUGUAUGGACUUGAUUAAUUUUCCAUACUGCAUGGGUUUUCAGCUUACUGGUAUACUUGGCACACCCUGUGCGCAUGCUUAAUAUUGUAGGACUGUAGGUGGUUUCUAAAAUAUAAAAUAAUAAAGGUGAUUUGGUUUAUAUCCUGAAAAUAAUCAUAAAUUAUUUCGUGAAGUUCUGUAAUCUGAUAAAG